UUGUCUCAAAGAUUAAGCCAUGCAUGUCUCAGUACAAGCCAAAUUAAGGUGAAACCGCGAAAGGCUCAUUAAAUCAGUUAUGGUUCCUUAGAUCGUACCCACACUUACUUGGAUAACUGUGGUAAUUCUAGAGCUAAUACAUGCAAACAGAGCUCCGACCGGAGACGGAAGGAGCGCUUUUAUUAGAUCAAAACCAAUCGCCGGCGGGCUCGCUCGUUCGGCGUACACCUUGGUGAAUCUGAAUAACUUUCUGCUGAUCGCAUGGUCUCGCACCGGCGACGCAUCUUUCAAAUGUCUGCCUUAUCAACUGUCGAUGGUAGGUUCUGCGCCUACCAUGGUUGUAACGGGUAACGGGGAAUCAGGGUUCGAUUCCGGAGAGGGAGCCUGAGAAACGGCUACCACAUCCAAGGAAGGCAGCAGGCGCGCAAAUUACCCACUCCCGGCACGGGGAGGUAGUGACGAAAAAUAACGAUACGGGACUCAUCCGAGGCCCCGUAAUCGGAAUGAGUACACUCUAAACCCUUUAACGAGGAUCAAUUGGAGGGCAAGUCUGGUGCCAGCAGCCGCGGUAAUUCCAGCUCCAAUAGCGUAU
rnacentral:rRNA from 1 species